UACGUAGGGGCAAGCGUUAUCCGGAUUUACUGGGUGUAAAGGGAGCGCAGACGGAACUGCAAGUCUGAUGUGAAAGCCCGGGGCUCAACCGCGGGACUGCAUCGGAUACUGUGGAUCUGGAGUGCCGGAGGGGCAAGCGGAAUUCCUGGUGUAGCGGUGAAAUGCGUAGAUAUCAGGAGGAACACCGGCGGCGAAGGCGGCUUGCUGGACGGCAACUGACGUUGAGGCUCGAAAGCGUGGGGAGCAAACAGGAUUAGAUACCCGU
rnacentral:rRNA from 1 species